GAAAGAUGAAAAGAACUUUGAAAAGAGAGUUAAACAGUACGUGAAAUUGUUGAAAGGGAAACGAUUGAAGUCAGUCAUACCAACGGGAAAUCAACCUCUUGAGCUCGGUCUCGUGGGUUUUGAAGAGUUUCAAAGCCUUCGGAUUCGCGAGAUUGGGAUCUCUUGGUGUACUUUUUCGUACGGUUAGUCAACAUCGGUUUUGAAUGUCAUAAAAUGACUGGAGGAAUGUAGCUUCGAUCUCGUAUUGAAGUAUUAUA
rnacentral:rRNA from 1 species